UUAAGCGACUAAGCGUACACGGUGGAUGCCCUGGCAGUCAGAGGCGAUGAAGGACGUGCUAAUCUGCGAUAAGCGUCGGUAAGGUGAUAUGAACCGUUAUAACCGGCGAUUUCCGAAUGGGGAAACCCAGUGUGUUUCGACACACUAUCAUUAACUGAAUCCAUAGGUUAAUGAGGCGAACCGGGGAACUGAAACAUCUAAGUACCCGAGGAAAAGAAAUCAACCGAGAUUCCCCCAGUAGCGGCGAGCGAACGGGGAGGAGCCCAGAGCCUGAAUCAGUGUGUGUGUUAGUGGAAGCGUCUGGAAAGGCGCGCGAUACAGGGUGACAGCCCCGUACACAAAAAUGCACAUAUUGUGAGCUCGAUGAGUAGGGCGGGACACGUGGUAUCCUGUCUGAAUAUGGGGGGACCAUCCUCCAAGGCUAAAUACUCCUGACUGACCGAUAGUGAACCAGUACCGUGAGGGAAAGGCGAAAAGAACCCCGGCGAGGGGAGUGAAAAAGAACCUGAAACCGUGUACGUACAAGCAGUGGGAGCCUCUUUUAUGGGGUGACUGCGUACCUUUUGUAUAAUGGGUCAGCGACUUAUAUUCUGUAGCAAGGUUAACCGAAUAGGGGAGCCGAAGGGAAACCGAGUCUUAACUGGGCGUUAAGUUGCAGGGUAUAGACCCGAAACCCGGUGAUCUAGCCAUGGGCAGGUUGAAGGUUGGGUAACACUAACUGGAGGACCGAACCGACUAAUGUUGAAAAAUUAGCGGAUGACUUGUGGCUGGGGGUGAAAGGCCAAUCAAACCGGGAGAUAGCUGGUUCUCCCCGAAAGCUAUUUAGGUAGCGCCUCGUGAAUUCAUCUCCGGGGGUAGAGCACUGUUUCGGCAAGGGGGUCAUCCCGACUUACCAACCCGAUGCAAACUGCGAAUACCGGAGAAUGUUAUCACGGGAGACACACGGCGGGUGCUAACGUCCGUCGUGAAGAGGGAAACAACCCAGACCGCCAGCUAAGGUCCCAAAGUCAUGGUUAAGUGGGAAACGAUGUGGGAAGGCCCAGACAGCCAGGAUGUUGGCUUAGAAGCAGCCAUCAUUUAAAGAAAGCGUAAUAGCUCACUGGUCGAGUCGGCCUGCGCGGAAGAUGUAACGGGGCUAAACCAUGCACCGAAGCUGCGGCAGCGACGCUGAUGCGUUGUUGGGUAGGGGAGCGUUCUGUAAGCCUGUGAAGGUGUGCUGUGAGGCAUGCUGGAGGUAUCAGAAGUGCGAAUGCUGACAUAAGUAACGAUAAAGCGGGUGAAAAGCCCGCUCGCCGGAAGACCAAGGGUUCCUGUCCAACGUUAAUCGGGGCAGGGUGAGUCGACCCCUAAGGCGAGGCCGAAAGGCGUAGUCGAUGGGAAACAGGUUAAUAUUCCUGUACUUGGUGUUACUGCGAAGGGGGGACGGAGAAGGCUAUGUUGGCCGGGCGACGGUUGUCCCGGUUUAAGCGUGUAGGCUGGUUUUCCAGGCAAAUCCGGAAAAUCAAGGCUGAGGCGUGAUGACGAGGCACUACGGUGCUGAAGCAACAAAUGCCCUGCUUCCAGGAAAAGCCUCUAAGCAUCAGGUAACAUCAAAUCGUACCCCAAACCGACACAGGUGGUCAGGUAGAGAAUACCAAGGCGCUUGAGAGAACUCGGGUGAAGGAACUAGGCAAAAUGGUGCCGUAACUUCGGGAGAAGGCACGCUGAUAUGUAGGUGAAGUCCCUCGCGGAUGGAGCUGAAAUCAGUCGAAGAUACCAGCUGGCUGCAACUGUUUAUUAAAAACACAGCACUGUGCAAACACGAAAGUGGACGUAUACGGUGUGACGCCUGCCCGGUGCCGGAAGGUUAAUUGAUGGGGUUAGCGCAAGCGAAGCUCUUGAUCGAAGCCCCGGUAAACGGCGGCCGUAACUAUAACGGUCCUAAGGUAGCGAAAUUCCUUGUCGGGUAAGUUCCGACCUGCACGAAUGGCGUAAUGAUGGCCAGGCUGUCUCCACCGAGACUCAGUGAAAUUGAACUCGCUGUGAAGAUGCAGUGUACCCGCGGCAAGACGGAAAGACCCCGUGAACCUUUACUAUAGCUUGACACUGAACAUUGAGCCUUGAUGUGUAGGAUAGGUGGGAGGCUUUGAAGUGUGGACGCCAGUCUGCAUGGAGCCGACCUUGAAAUACCACCCUUUAAUGUUUGAUGUUCUAACGUUGACCCGUGAUCCGGGUUGCGGACAGUGUCUGGUGGGUAGUUUGACUGGGGCGGUCUCCUCCUAAAGAGUAACGGAGGAGCACGAAGGUUGGCUAAUCCUGGUCGGACAUCAGGAGGUUAGUGCAAUGGCAUAAGCCAGCUUGACUGCGAGCGUGACGGCGCGAGCAGGUGCGAAAGCAGGUCAUAGUGAUCCGGUGGUUCUGAAUGGAAGGGCCAUCGCUCAACGGAUAAAAGGUACUCCGGGGAUAACAGGCUGAUACCGCCCAAGAGUUCAUAUCGACGGCGGUGUUUGGCACCUCGAUGUCGGCUCAUCACAUCCUGGGGCUGAAGUAGGUCCCAAGGGUAUGGCUGUUCGCCAUUUAAAGUGGUACGCGAGCUGGGUUUAGAACGUCGUGAGACAGUUCGGUCCCUAUCUGCCGUGGGCGCUGGAGAACUGAGGGGGGCUGCUCCUAGUACGAGAGGACCGGAGUGGACGCAUCACUGGUGUUCGGGUUGUCAUGCCAAUGGCACUGCCCGGUAGCUAAAUGCGGAAGAGAUAAGUGCUGAAAGCAUCUAAGCACGAAACUUGCCCCGAGAUGAGUUCUCCCUGACUCCUUGAGAGUCCUGAAGGAACGUUGAAGACGACGACGUUGAUAGGCCGGGUGUGUAAGCGCAGCGAUGCGUUGAGCUAACCGGUACUAAUGAACCGUGAGGCUUAACCUU
rnacentral:rRNA from 1 species